rnacentral:rRNA from 1 species
CUACACAUGCAGCCGAGCGGUAGAAUCUUUUCGGAGAUUUGAGAGCGGCGUACGGGUGAGGAACACGUGUGCAACCUGCCUUUAUCUGGGAGAUAGCCUUUCGAAAGGAAGAUUAAUAUCCCAUAAUAUAUUGAGUGGCAUCACUUAAUAUUGAAAGCUCCGGCGGAUAGAGAUGGGCACGCGCAAGAUUAGAUAGUUGGUGAGGUAACGGCUCACCAAGUCUACGAUCUUUAGGGGGCCUGAGAGGGUGAUCCCCCACACUGGUACUGAGACACGGACCAGACUCCUACGGGAGGCAGCAGUGAGGAAUAUUGGACAAUGGGUGCAAGCCUGAUCCAGCCAUCCCGCGUGAAGGAUUAAGGUCCUAUGGAUUGUAAACUUCUUUUAUACAGGGAUAAACCUCUCCUCGUGAGGAGAGCUGAAGGUACUGUAUGAAUAAGCACCGGCUAACUCCGUGCCAGCAGCCGCGGUAAUACGGAGGGUGCAAGCGUUAUCCGGAUUUAUUGGGUUUAAGGGUCCGUAGGCGGGUUCGUAAAGUCAGUGGUGAAAUCCUACAGC